rnacentral:tRNA from 1 species
GGAGGUGUAUGAGCUCCGGUGGGCUUUGCCGUCUUCAAAACGGUUGAGGGGGUGCUCAGCGCAUUCCCUGGUGGGUUCGACUCCCAUACGCCUCUG